UAACGUAAGGAGCUGAACUACAGAGGUCUCGGCGCAUCGUCUCGCCGCGCCUCGUCAUAACUGGGGAACACAUUUUCUGCAUCAGCGCACAGAAAGACGUCUUGCCAUUCAUCAAGGACUUACUAGACCCAAACAUUUCAAACAAAUGGCUGACAUUUUUUAAGAGAUGCAAAGCACAUAAUUUGCUGAGAGUUGUUCAACAGGUACUAGCAGUGUCACCGUCCAGCUAAACAUCUGGAGCAGUGAAAGAAACAGACUGAGAGUGAAAAUGCUGAACUGUUUGUGAAUGUGCUGAAUUUGCUAAAUUUGUUAAAUCUGACAACGAGAAAGAACUUGUUAAAGCCGUGAACUCAGAAAAGAAGUACAACUUCAAAAUAUAACUAGUAAAGAAACUAGAGGCUCACAGAAAUGGGUGAUUUCACAGUAUUAACAGAUGCAUACAGUGGCCAUGGUGUACUUUGGUGUAUCAUGCAGCCUUGUUCAAAUGGCUCUGAGCACUAUGGGACUCAACUGCUGUGGUCAUAAGUCCCCUCUGCAGCCUUGUUGGUACAACAGUAAUGGAAGAGGGUGUGUCAGUUGCUGAUCCUACACAGUCAGUGAGAAAGCAGCAGAUGUGUUUCAGGGCAAGA